UUAAAAUAUUCCUUACAACACUGCCUGGAACCCAAACUAAUCCUAAUACCAUCAUAAAAUCUUUAUAUGAUGGGGUUACGAUGGUGUGCCAUAAAUCCUUUUUAUGACAGUGUUAUGAUGAGUGAGAAACAGUAUUCUGCAAUAGGUUAGAGCUUGUAUUGACAUUAAAUAACUGAUAACUGUUAAAUGCUCCCUUAUCGCUAGUUCUAACAUGUUUUGAUUUUAAAAAAAAAAGGUCUUCAAGGAACUCUGGUUUUGAUACAGCGCAUUGGAUGAGGUGGGAAAAAAACACUUCAAAGCUCUUCAUCGUGAAAUGUAACAAGACUUAGUUGCUCGAUGAGUGACAACUAAGAAGCGAGUGUAAGGAGAAGAGGAUAAUGUCUUCCUCAAAAGUGGGGCAGAGGAGCGUCGGAGUGUGGGCCCGAUUACUGUGAUCCUCUCCCCUCUCAUCCGAACCGCAGGCAUCCAGGAGGCAGCAGCAGCAGCAAGAAAUGAGGAGAUGCUAUCUUAAAGAGGCAAACGAGGAUGAAGGCAGAGAGGAAAGCGGAUCAGGCGGCUGAGCUCUAAUCUGCUGGGGGUGAGGGGUGCUAGCAGCACAUGAGCAGAUGGAGCGAAAGACAAGACUGACUCGUUGAUUUGAAUCAGACAUGACAGCUUCUUGCCACUUCAUUUACCUCCAUGAAAAGCUGCCAAUCACUUUCAAAGCAGCAAAUGAGGACAUUUGCAAGUGACCACAUGCUGCUGCUGCGUGCAGUAAUGAUACACAGCUUUUUGUCCAUCAUCUCCCCCUGGUCUUUCUUCAAUCAUUGUCCGUCUCUUUCAUCUCCAUAUCGGGUAAAUGUUUCAGCUCGUGCCUGUUUCUCUGUCAUUGCUAUCCUCCCCCAUCAGCGGUCCCGCCUCCGUUGCCCACCUGUUCUCGCCCCUUUUUAUCUCCACAUUUCCUCUCCACCUGCGGUGAGCACUCGCCAAGCUUGUGAUUAGUAACAGAAGCCAACCUGCACUGAAAUCUCAGCCAUGGAAUUAGCUGCGGAAACAACCUGGCUGGAAUACCUGAGGUGGUGCUUAAGCAUUGGCUUUGUCGCAAUAUUGGCAA